AUAAAAUCGAUAAACCAGAAAUCUAAAGUCGAAACCCUACAGCUUGAAGAUGUUCUAUUCACACAGCUUUCUUGCAGAGAGAAGUCCUUUAUGGAUGAUUUGGAUGGCAGCGCAUAUGCAACAGAUUUGAAAACCCCAAAUCAUAGCCACUGAUAUACCUUCAUCUAUCAUGAUAUAAUGGGUGAAGAAAGAAUUUGACCCAAUUCCAUGGCAAUUAGAGAGUCAUGGCUACUGGAUCAAACUUCCAAGACUCCCUACCAUGUUAUUGGGACCUUCGAGCAGUACUAUCUUGAUAUGGAUUCUACUCCUCAUAAAUAUUUUUUGUGUUUUUUUAAUUUUUAUGUUAAUGGAUAUGAUACAUUGGCAGAAGGAUUGAUUUUAUUUACCCGUAUAAAUAUUUUGAAUGCAUUUAUGGAUGGUCUUAAAGUUGCUUUUAAUGUAAUAUACCAUGUCUGAAUCGAAAUCUAUGCAUUGAUUUUUAUUUAUUAUUAUUA